UGCCAAGAAUUUUCUCUCUUUGAAUCACCUUGUUGGUAUUGUUCCACAUGGUGAGGUUCUGCGCAUGGGCCUGUUUGGCUUGGAGCUGCUCUGCCCGGGGAUGUAGAGUCAGGGGUAGGUGGAACAGCGAUAAGAGUCUACGGGUGAAAUGUUGAUGUGCCGAGACCGUUUAGGCGAGGGUUGUAUGGUCAUCUCUGGUCGAGUAGCCAUCGGCGGGCUGUGUGGACAGCCGUGCUGAUAGUGUUUUACGGAGACGAUUGGAGCCAUGUGGCAGGGGCUGUUGAGGGGCAGUGAAGCGGAUUUGACUAAGGUGUUAAGUCUUGCAUGUGAUGGGCUUAAAGUUUGGCCCUGGUUUUUUUUUUUGGUUGGUGUGUGGGUUUUUUUUUUUUUUUUAAAUGGCAGGCUGUAGUAGUUGGACUCCAGAUGGUCUUUGUAGAUAGAAUCGAGACCUCUGGAGCUGUUAAGCUCUUGCUCUGCAUCCAGGUGACUUGUUCGAUAUGUUUGUUGUUUUUUUUUUUCAGAUGCAGAGGGACAAGAUGCAUGCCACAGAGCGACGGGGGAAGGCAGCGGAGUGCCGUAAGGAGGUGAUGACAGGGCACGAGGUGCUUGAAGGAACCUUGCGUUUAGGUGACAUAGCUGCUAUGGAGGUUGGACCAUGACAUGUGGCACUGUGAAAGCUAAGUAUAGGGUUGAAAAUGCACGGAUGGUGGAGAUGAUGGUGUGUGUUGAAACAUUGGUGUAAUGGAAGGGUAGUUUGUGGGGAGUUUGGAAGGAGGUUGGGCUCAGGCCAGGGUUUUUGCAGGUAGGGUGAUUUUUGAGUCCUCCGGUGCCGCAGGCACGGGGUGAUGACCCUUUGAUGGUGGUGGGCAGUUGCAUGGAUGAGUUGAGAGUGAGGACUGGCAUGUAUGUGAUCUGAAUGAGUGGUGUGUUGUGAAUGUGUGUAACCUUGUAGGGUUAUGUGGUUUAGCCUUGUUAUGUUUUUUCCUUUCAGGUUGGAUGUAGAGUUGAGAUGUUUUUCAGG